rnacentral:rRNA from 1 species
UUCCGGUUGAUCCUGCCAGAGGUCACUGCUAUCGGUGUCCGAUUAAGCCAUGCGAGUCGAGAGGUGUAAGACCUCGGCAGACUGCUCAGUAACACGUGGAUAACCUGCCCAAGGGUCCGGGAUAACCCCGGGCAACUGGGGAUAAUACCGGAUGGGUCACCAGUGCUGGAAUGCUUGGUGGUCGAAAGGUGACGCCUUUGGAUGGGUCUGCGGCGGAUUAGGUUGACGCCGGUGUAACGUACCGGCGUGCCUGUAAUCCGUACGGGUUGUGGGAGCAAGAGCCCGGAGAUGGAUUCUGAGACACGAAUCCAGGCCCUACGGGGCGCAGCAGGCGCGAAAACUCUACAAUGCAGGCAACUGCGAUAGGGGGACAUCGAGUGGCAUCCACCUUGGGUGUCUGUCCAACCGUCUAAAAAACGGUUGUUAGCAAGGGCCGGGCAAGACCGGUGCCAGCCGCCGCGGUAAUACCGGCGGCUCGAGUGGUGGCCGAUAUUAUUGAGUCUAAAGGGUCCGUAGCCGGCUUUGCAAGUCCCCUGGGAAAUCCGGCGGCUUAACCGUUGGGCUUUCAUGGGAUACUACAUUGCUUGGGACUGGGAGAGGUAGGAGGUACUCGGGGGGUAGGGGUGAAAUCCUGUAAUCCUCCGGGGACCACCGGUGGCGAAGGCGUCCUACCAGAACAGGUCCGACGGUGAGGGACGAAAGCUAGGGGCACGAACCGGAUUAGAUACCCGGGUAGUCCUAGCCGUAAACGAUGCCCGCUAGGUGUCACGACGGUCGUGAAUCGUCGUGGUGCCGUAGGGAAGCCGCGAAGCGGGCCACUUGGGAAGUACGGCCGCAAGGCUGAAACUUAAAGGAAUUGGCGGG